GAGGAAUAUUGGUCAAUGGACGGAAGUCUGAACCAGCCAAGUAGCGUGCAGGAUGACGGCCCUAUGGGUUGUAAACUGCUUUUGUAUGGGGAUAAAGUUAGGGACGUGUCCCUAUUUGCAGGUACCAUACGAAUAAGGACCGGCUAAUUCCGUGCCAGCAGCCGCGGUAAUACGGAAGGUCCAGGCGUUAUCCGGAUUUAUUGGGUUUAAAGGGAGUGUAGGCUGGAGAUUAAGUGUGUUGUGAAAUGUAGACGCUCAACGUCUGAAUUGCAGCGCAUACUGGUUUCCUUGAGUACGCACAACGUUGGCGGAAUUCGUCGUGUAGCGGUGAAAUGCUUAGAUAUGACGAAGAACUCCGAUUGCGAAGGCAGCUGACGGGAGCGCAACUGACGCUUAAGCUCGAAGGUGCGGGUAUCAAACAGGAUUAGAUACCCUGGUAGUCCGCACAGUAAACGAUGGAUGCCCGCUGUUGGUACCUGGUAUCAGCGGCUAAGCGAAAGCAUUAAGCAUCCCACCUGGGGAGUACGGCCGCAAGGUUG
rnacentral:rRNA from 1 species